AACGAACGCUGGCGGCAUGCCUAACACAUGCAAGUCGAACGAGACCUUCGGGUCUAGUGGCGCACGGGUGCGUAACGCGUGGGAACCUGCCCUUAGGUUCGGAAUAACUCCCCGAAAGGGGUGCUAAUACCGGAUAAUGUCUUCGGACCAAAGAUUUAUCGCCUUUGGAUGGGCCCGCGUUGGAUUAGCUAGUUGGUAGGGUAAAAGCCUACCAAGGCGACGAUCCAUAGCUGGUCUGAGAGGAUGUUCAGCCACACUGGGACUGAGACACGGCCCAGACUCCUACGGGAGGCAGCAGUGGGGAAUAUUGGACAAUGGGCGAAAGCCUGAUCCAGCAAUGCCGCGUGAGUGAUGAAGGCCUUAGGGUUGUAAAGCUCUUUUACCCGGGAUGAUAAUGACAGUACCGGGAGAAUAAGCUCCGGCUAACUCCGUG
rnacentral:rRNA from 1 species